rnacentral:lncRNA from 1 species
CUAAAAGGGAUUGGAGGAGACUUUGGGAGAUGUUGGAUAUGUUCUUGGCCUUGAUGGUUUCAUGGGUAUGUUUAUCCCCAAACUCAUUGAAUUGUAUGCAUUAAAUAUGUACAGUUUUUAAUAUGUCAGUCAUACCUCAAUAAAGUGGUAUAAAACAUAAAAGAGUAUUACUGUUCUUCACAGACUCUUCUGAAGUGCUCAUAACUUUCUUAAGAACAUUGCCAGCAUCUGAUCAUCACUACAGAAAUGGUGAAAACAAGGGGUCACCUCCUAUAUUUUCAAGACAAGAAAAAAGAGAAGCAAGUGUCAGUCCUGGGAUUCAUCCCCGCGCCUCCUGGCCAUCUGUUCAAGUUUCCUUCCGACAGACCAGGCCAUCUCAAUGACCUUCAGAAGCAGAGUGAGAAGACCUCGGAGUUGUGCUGGGUUCCUCAGUUCAGCCCUGAGCAGCACAGAGACUAUGCAAGUCCUGAAACCAAGAGUGAGAAGUUGGAUUGGCCCUCCUGUGUACACUCCUGGUGACCUACCUGUAGAAUUCUUACUUCUUGUCCUUUAACACUUAAACUCUGUUUGCCCUGGUUCUUGUGAGAGGGACUGAAGAACUUCCUGCAGGGGACACAGUAAAGGUACUAGUAAUCUAUAUUUCCAUAAAUCUGAAGCUGUGACUACUACCCAAUCAGUUUAGGCAUCUUAUGCUGAUGGACCAUAUCGGCAAGGGUGAUGAUCAUGAAGAACUGGAAUUGCUGCCACAUAGCAAGAAUAGGAAAGAAUAUGUCUUGAACUAAAGGAAUUCCCUUGGUGUCUGUCGGAGCUUCCAAAGCCCAGUGCUAACUGUUAAUGGACAAGGACAAAAAGCACAGCCCCAAAUCAGUAAAGCAACUAAAGGUUCUGAUUCUUUGAGCAUGACGGCCUGGGUUCACCAUAGUGUUGGCUGACGGGGAGGGAAAGCUAAAACAUGUGAUGCAGAAAGAGGAUGAAAA